CACACACACACACACAGAGUACAAGCUACUUGGGUCCCUUUAUAGGCAGCACACACCUGUUACAACUGUACUGUGGCAUGUGGCUUUGGCUUAAGUCAUGACGGAAGCAGUUGCUAGGUCCCCGAGAGCAGACCAGUGGAACAGCCUGUUAACAGACUGGCCCUCCAGAAACUAGGACUCCUUCCUGUCUUUCACUUCCCCCAGGUCCCACCCUCAGGUGUCUCCCAGCAAAUCCUCUUAAGAGAUUUACUCCCUACAAAUGACAGGGUGCAUCAAAAGGCCUCCAGCCCCUAAGCCUUCCCGCUCUGCGCCCAACAUGCUCAGAAGUCUAGGAAACUGAUGGUCUAACGUCUGCUUCAAGUCGGAGGGAGGGAAGAUUAUAGCAAAAAUCACACAGCUUGUACAUCCACACGUGCACUUGUUUUGAAGGGCCACAUGAGCCUGCUAUACGCCUGGGAAUGGCGGGGCUUGGGGGUGGGGCACACUUCUUUCUUUGAGAGCCCGGGAUGUAACCACAUGCCACUGAGACAGAGAUUUUUCUAAUGUGUGUUUGUUUGCUGUCUCUGAGAGAGGACUUGGGGUGGGCAAUUUUCCCUUGGAGAAAGGGGAUUAUCUUACUAUAUCAUUCCCUAAGCUGCUAUGUACAGUAAGCAGCCCCGAGCUCCGCUCAGACUCCAGCAUCCUUCAAAAAACAAAUGACCUCCUACAGCUAGCUCUAAGGCAGGCAAUUGAGACCACUUAGAUGAAUGCUAAUGGCAUACAGUCCCUGAAGCUUUAUGCUCUUGGGCUAAGAGAACAGAGCUGCCAGCAGCUGCUGCUGCUACAGGAAGAAGAGAGAAUGACAUCAGCUUUGAGCCGUGUUCUAUGGAAGCACACGGGACCUCAGAAGGUCUAUCCAGAAGAUCACUUGACAGCUGACCUGCCACUCAACAGGAGGAAGGGCAGUUGCUUUCGAUCGGGGUGCUUUGUCACAGAUACAGAAGAGAAACUAGGACAAGAGUCAAGCAUCAGAAUGGAAUCGGAGUCCGUGACAGCCUCGUGGAUGCGACUGAGAUAGUCUAAGCAGAAGUGACUUCCAACCUGAGCUCUGUGCCCAGCCACUUACAGAUUUAAAGUCCCCCAUCACAUUAGUCUUCCAAACAUUGACCCUCUACGCCCAUGCUUGGGAAACCACAGGGGAGGUGCUCCAGCCAGCCAUAGAGGAGGUGGGAUACAGGGAGCAAGGUCCAGACUUCAACAGAGAGACAGACACCCAGUACACAGAUGGCCUAAGAGGCUCCCAGCAGCAAUGCUCUGUGACUUCUCACAGAAACUCGAAGAGAAGUCUGUUCACCCCAGAUGGGGUAACCGUGACAAAGAAAAGACUCUGUGCUCGUGAGUGCACUGGGGUGAUUGACAGGACCAUCUGUGACUCAAAGGCAACUGUGGUCACCCCUCCCCCCACACUGUGGGUGAUGAUUCAUGAGGGCUGCAUGCCUGGAGAGCUCCCAGCACACCUUGCAGGCAGCUCCAUUCAAGAGCCCCCUCUUCGACAGAUGCGUUUGCGCUUUAUAAACCUGGGAACCAGCUAUGACGCUCCUAUCUUUCUAGCUUUCCAAGCCAGCUGAAGAGAAGACAUUCGAAAGAUGUCAUAUACUCACACGUGGUCACUAUGGCACGGCCUCCCCCAGAGAACCAGCACAGGUGCCAGCACGUGAGGAGAGAAGCAAGACAGCACUGCUGCUGCUCAUCCAGCCUGGCUCCCAGGAGAUGUACGGCAACAGCCAUGCCAAGGCAGAGACAACCGUUUCGAAUCUGAGCGUCUCAUCAGUCAGAGCUUUCCCCAGCCUGGCUCCAGGUGCUGUCACCUCUUGCUCCUCACACCUAGUGGCAGCUGAGGAGAGAAGGGGAGCCCUUUGCAACACACACACUGCCCUCUCUGCAGGGCAGAGAGUGAGUUCAUACCCACAGCCAGCCACUAACCCAGAAGAGAUCCUGUGAAGCUGACAGGCUGGGAUGGGGGAGCUGGCUGUGGGGUUUCAAUAGUUCAGAACGUUAAGAAGGACCGGGUGCCUGUGCCCAUGAAUUGGUGCCAGUGUCCCCACAGCUUUUUGAGCUCAGUAAACUCAUGAUGGUUAAGCAGGGCGUCAGGGUGUCAGGGGCCAGUGCCUAGGGAAGGUCUGUCUGUCUGUCUGUUGGUCGGU
rnacentral:sRNA from 1 species